rnacentral:lncRNA from 1 species
UUAACAAUGAGAAUUAAGUCUAAAACAUUAUAAUUAGUCCAACAUUUAAGCAGUCAACAGUACAAAUAUGUAGAAGAACAACCCAACACAGCCCGAUAUCGAUGUGUCACAAGUCACGAGUAUCUACUAAGGUCUAAAAUACAAUAGAAUUUCUGUAAAUGUACUAAAUACGGUCUAAUAACAUCAAAGAGAGAAAAAUAGUGCUGCGAACGUCGGGCAGCUACCUUGCUAAACUCCAAAGAAUCUGCCUCUGAUCAACCAAUACCCGCUACCGGGUGCAGAAAUACCUGAAUCUGCACACAAGGUGCAGGGAGUAAAGUGAGUACUCCAACUCAGUGAGUAAUAAUCAUAACUAAAGACUAAGUGAUAGGAAAUCACGAAACAUUAACAUGUUGUAUAGAAGUAGUACAAAACCAGUAAGAAAGCAAUGAAGCUGUGAAAUCUCUUAAAGCAUCUUAGCUUAGUUUAAACUUCUUUUAAAACGACUUUUCAACAGUUAAGCAAUUGAAUGCAAAGCAAUUAGAACAGAUAUGCACAGAAAAUCCGCCCCUCGGGCACAAAUACGCAAUUAAACAGGUAAAUGACAGACAAAUAAGACAGGUCAGCACAUAAAGGAUUGCCCCUCGGGCACAAUGUCAACAAUACCAGCCCCUUGGGCUAUAUCUCACAUCACAAUUGGUACCCGCACUCACUAGGGGUGUGCAGACUCCUGGAGGGGCCCCUUUCAACCCAAGCGCAAUAUCAAGCUAUCUCGUGGCAUCAUCACUAGGCUUUUGGCCUCAUAUCUACAAGCCACCCCGUGGCGUACAUAUCUCAGGCCCUCGGCCUCAUAAUCAUAAUCAGUGUAUCACCACUGCGGCAUGCAACCCAACCCAAAAGUAUUCUCACAGCACAAACCCUCGGCCUUACUCAGUCAAAAUCACAUAAGCUACUCGGGCAACAGUAAAAACAUGAUGCUCAGCCCAAAAUAUUAUUUGAAAUAUCAUUUGAUAUAUUAAAACAGAGUAAACAUGGCUGAGCUAUGAAAACAAUGAAAUAUAGCAUGACCGAGUUCAAGUAUAAAGUCAAGAUAGUGAGGAAAUAUCAAUAAAAUCCCCUAAGGGUUCAAAUAGUUGGCACUCAGCCCAAAUAUGGCAUUCAACCCAAAAUAUGAUGACAACAAAUAGAUUUUUCAGUCAAAUACGCAGUAAAAUAGUCAUUUGGGAUGGUCUAAGUCAUAAUCCCCAACAGUGCACGACCCCACGCUCGUCAUCUAGCGUGUGCGUCACUUUAAUAUAGCACAACGAUGUGCAAUUCGGGGUUUCAUACCCUCAGAACAUCAUUUACAACUAUUACUCACCUCAAUCCGGUUAAAUCUCUAGCUCGCGACGCCUUUGCCCCUCGAAUCGGCCUCCACUCGCGUCAAAUCUAUCCAAAAAUCAAAACGAGAAUGUCAAAAUAUGCUAAGGGAUCGAAGCCCAAGCGAAAAUAAUCAAUUUACAACAUAAAUCCCAAAAUUACCAAAACCCGACCCCCGGGCCCACAUCUUGGAAUUUGAUAAUUUUUACAUCAACGGAAUCCUUAUCCUCCCACGAGUACAUACAUAUCAAAAGUUCUCAAAUCCGACCUCAAAUGGUCCUUCAAAUCCUCAAGCAAAGGUCUAAGUUUUCAAGCCCUAGUUUUCCCCAAUUUUAACCCUUAAAUUCCAUUAAUUAUAGCUCUAAUCCAUGAAAUAAUAGCAUAGAGACACGUUUUAGGUCCAAAUUCCUUACCUCAAUGAAGUUCCCUUGAAAUCCCUCUUCAAAAUCGUCCAAAAAGCUCCAAAGCCGAAUUAGAAAUGAUGAAAAUAGUUCAAAAUCGCGAAGGACACAAUUUAUACCUUCUGCCCAUGCAUUUUCACAUUUGCGGCCCUAUUUACCACUUCUACGGUACCGCAUUUGUGGUUCUUGAUCUGUUUCUGUGGAAAUCACUUAAGCUUCCCCUUAUCUGCAUCUGCGAUAUCGCAGAUGCGGUCCUCCUCACCGCUUUUGCGGUUCCUGCUCUUCAAGCCCCCUUUUCACUUCUGCGACCAAUCGUUCGCACAUGCGGCGUCGCACCUGCGGUCCCCAAUCCGCAGGUGCGGAAGUACCAGAAGCAGUAAAAAUCUGCAAUCUCACAAAGUCUCAAACUCCUCCGUCAACCAUCCAAAAUCACCCCGAAGCCCCCGGGACCUCAACCAAAAGCACCAACAUAUCCCAACACCUUAUUCAAACUUGUACCAAUUUUCAAAACACCUCAAACAACAUCAAAUCAACCAAAACACAUCGAAUUCAAGCCUAAGUUUCCAAAAAAAUCUUCUGAAUUCCGCUUUUGAUCAAAAACUCAACCAAACCACGUCUGAAUGACCUGAAAUUUUGCACACACAUCCCAAAUGUCACAACGGAACUACUGCAACUUUCAGAAUUCCAUUCCGGCCUCUAUAUCAAAAUCUCACCUAUCAACCAGAAAAUGCUGAAAUCUCAACUUCGCCAAUUCAAGCCAAAACCUUCCACAGACUUCCAAAAUGCAUUCUGAUCACGCUCCUAAGUCCCAAAUUACCUAGCGGAGCUAACCAAAUCAUAAAAAUUCCAAUCCGCGAUCAUAUACCAACAAGUCAAAUCUUGGUCAAACCUUUCAAAUUUCAAGCUUCAAACUGAGAAUUGUUCUUCCAAAUUCAUUCUGAUUACCCUGAAAUCCAAAACCAUUGAUUUACAUAAGUCAUAAUACAUCACACGGGGCAAGUCAUGCCCGAGAACUAGCGAGCAAAGUGUAAAAGCUCAAAACGACCGGUUGGGUCGUUAUAAUUCUGCGGGCACAGACUAUCAUCUCCAGCUACCAGAUUACUAUGUUAAAGUUGUUUACCUAAGCGCUCUAAUUCAAUUCUAAGUCGUGGCCUAUGCGUGCACUACCCAUCCCAUACUAAUGGUCCAUGAGGCUUUGGACCUCUAUUUAAAGUGGUUCUAGACUUUACCUAGGCUGCUCAAAAUGAUAAAACUAGGAGACAUACAAAACAAGUUGGACUUCAUAUAAGGGCAAUCAAAGGCUCAGAUAGCCUUCACACUUAGAUAAUAAAUGCACGCGAACAGAUUUUUCACAUUAGACGGUUUUAGAACUAAGACAAAAUAAAGUCUUUAAGCCAUAUAGACAUGGUCUCUAUAUGACCUUAGAUUCAAACGUGCAGGCAGUUUCAUAUGCAAGGCGAUACAUAUAGACAUGCUUUCCAAACAAUUACAGUUGUUGCAUGCUGAUUAUUGAAAUUAUAAGUUAUUAAACCUAUAGACAUUAUUUCUAAGUGAUUUAAGGGACAGCAAAAACUAUUGGAAAUGCUCAGAAUUACUCAUGCUUUCUAAUAGUGGCAUAACUAAGCAAUAAAACAAUGUUUGAAGAGUUAAACAUUAACACUUUAAAACGAGUAGCAAUACCCUAUAGGCAGGAUUUUUAAAGAUUGGCAAUUGGCACUGAUUUUUUAAUAUUUAGCCCCUACAAACAUGUUUUCUAGGUGAACAGUAUGAUACAAUAGCAAAUUAAACAAUUAAAAUCCUAUAGGCAUGAUUUCUAAUGAAUAUGUCGCAGUUAUGCAAAUUGAAGAAUGAUCAUUGACAUUUUUUUGUUUCCUAUAGAUAUGUUGUCUAGCUGUAGACAUAGGAAUAAAUCACUUAUCUUUGAUAACAUACGAGUUGUGUGAGUGUGUGAUUUUCCUAAUGGAAUGAUUUCUAGCAGUUGCACAUGGAAAUUGAAUGGCAUAUAUAGCAGGUCUGAUAACAAGUAGAUCAUAUGAAUCCUGUAGGCAUGCUUUCCAUCCUUUCAUGCAAACAUUAGAGUAUACCCGUUUCCCCAAUUUCACUAACACCCCAAUUGUUUAUUAUAGAAUUAUUAUAGACCCAACGAUGAAUGUAAUUACAAAACAUUAUACAAGCAAUAACAGUAGGCCCAUAGCAGGCCCCAAAAAUAAAAAGAUACCCAGUAUUGUCUGGGCCUUUAGCAAAACUCUUUCUUCAGCAAUCAGCAUACACAGAUCCCAAUAGGGAACUAUAUCCCUUAACAUAGCCCAAAAUCCAUAGAGGAACUCAAGCCAAACCAAACAGCCACAAAUUUACCACAUGACCCAAACAUUGAGUUACACAAAUAUCACUUAAACAAACUUAUUUGCACAUCCAGUAGACAGAAAGAAGAAAGAACUGAGUAUCAAAGAUAGGAGAGUGGCCAAAGAAACCCAAAUCCUAGUGCGUCAGAGUUCACAAGGGUCUCAAAUGGACCUAGAGCAGUACUUACACUAGGGAGGUUAAUAGUAAGGAUCUUGGUGGCCUUGACUUUCAGCCGGCCAAGAAUGAUAGAUUCAGAAUAGCAUAAGUAACAAAUGAGAAUUAGAGGACACUGGUUAAGGGACAGAAUUUGAAGAAAUACACUUGUAUUUUAAAAAGCAGACAUGGCAAAUUUAAAACAUAGAACAUGUUAGUUAAGAAGGUCAACAAGACUUAGAGGUAGAUGACUAUUACAGGUUCAACACUUAGCAAGGAGUAACACAUUGAUAGAAAGCACAUUGAGAGUUAGAGGAGAAUUAAGUUCCCUGAGUUGACAAGAUUAACAUACAAGGUUCAUAAUGCCAAACAAAUCUAAAUAGGACACUAACUUAGAAAGUUUAAAGCUUAAAGGUCCAAACCAUGCUAAAUAUUCAUCACAACACCAGAAAACAAACUUGCCAAUCUAUCACUAAACAGUUUUAAACAUUACAAGGAAACACAGACUAAGGUAGCUACUCUAAAUGUCUCAUACAAUUACUAGGGAUAUAGAAUUAAGCAAACAAAGACAUGUUGAAUGACACAAUAGCAGGGAAGCAGGUCACAGUUAAUAGUGAAGGUCUUAACACAGGUUAUAACAUACUACAUAUGUGAGGCAUUCACUACAGGGAUUCAGAACAAAGUAGUAAAGCAAGCUUAUGUCAAAUAGCAAAUGUGAACAUUCAGGCACCAACACAUUUGCUAAACUAACUUAAGAGAGUUCAAAUUAUUCAAAUUAGGCUUAAACAUGUCUCAGAGAUAGCCCAGAAACAAUGCUAACAAGGUUGCACACAGAGAUAGCUCAGAUACACAUUAAGUCGUGAAGUUUCAGAGGUGUAAAUAUGUUGGACAUAAACACAAAAAAACGAAAUCGUAAAGCCAAGAGACUUACCAGUUAAAUAGGUAACAAGAAAGAACAAAGUUCACAGUAUUAUGAGUAUCAACAAAAGCCAAAAAUCCAGAAUCUUGGUGCGUCAGAGUUCCCAAGAGCUUCAAAUGAACCACGGGCAGGUGCACUAAAAAAAGAUUGAAUAAUCAAAUUACGGUGGCCUUGACUUUUAGCCGGCCAAGAACCAGAGUAGAGAACAAUAGAGUAAUAGCUACAGUUUUUUUUACUGAAUCUGACGAUUAAAGGGUCUAUUUCAAAGGGAAAUGGGAGGGGUUUAUAUAGUCGGUCAAUCAGGCGAGUAAAUAAAGAAAGAAAUCAAUCCAAUAUGAACAAAGAAAGGAAAAACAUAUGCAAUCAGAAAGUAACUAGUAAAGGAAAGAAAUCGAAAAUCAAACCCUAAUUAGGGUUCCAUGUUUGAAAAUUCAUUUACUAGUAUGAGAAAUCGAUGAGUCUUCCAUGUAUAUGGACGAGAUAUCGUCCAGAUUCUAGCGAUUGAAGUUGAACGAACCAAAUCUAAGAGAUGGUACUUGCCAAGUUUAGGCAAGUACUAGAUGAUACCAUGGUCUUGCAGGUAAUACUAAGAAAACACAUAAAAGACAAGAAAAUUAUGGAAAUAAUCCAUGAUUGAUACGGAUUCGCAGAAAAUUGAGAGGGCGGCUAGGGUUUCUGAAGAGAGGAGAAACGAGGAUUUAUGGCUGUG